AAUAGAUACCCGGGUAGUCCACGCCGUAAACGAUGAAUACUAGGUGUGGGAGCGCAAGCUUCCGUGCCGUCGUUAACACAUUAAGUAUUCCACCUGGGGAGUACGGCCGCAAGGUUGAAACUCAAAGGAAUUGACGGGAGCCCGCACAAGCAGUGGAGUAUGUGGUUUAAUUCGAUGCAACGCGAAGAACCUUACCGGAGCUUGACAUCCACGGAAUGCCUUGUAAUGGAGGCAGUGCCCUUCGGGGAGCCGUGAGACAGGUGGUGCAUGGUUGUCGUCAGCUCGUGUCGUGAGAUGUUGGGUUAAGUCCCGCAACGAGCGCAACCCUUAUGAUUAGUUGCUACGCAAGAGCACUCUAAUCAGACUGCCGUUGACAAAACGGAGGAAGGUGGGGACGACGUCAAAUCAUCAUGCCCCUUAAGCCCCGGGUCUACACACGUACUACAAUGGCGUAAACAGAGGGGAGCGAAGGCGCGAGCCGGAGCAAAUCCCAAAAAUACGCCCCGAGUUCAGAUUGUAGGCUGCAACUCGCCUAC
rnacentral:rRNA from 1 species